rnacentral:tRNA from 1 species
UGGUGGAGACUAGCGGGAUCGAACCGCUGACCUCCUGCGUGCAAAGCAGGCGCUCUCCCAUCUGAGCUAAGCCCCC